CCUAGGGGCCAGCCCUCCAUCCCGCGAGGGAAAGGGCUGCCUUCCGCACCGCGAUAGGUUCGUGGCUGUGGCCCACGCGAGCCCCCUCAGGCCGUCCGAAGGACCGACGGACCUUAGCAGGGCCCUUGCCCCGCAGAGCUCUAAACAGCGCGGGGCGUGAGCCGGAGCAUCCGCGUUCCGACCGUUUUUGCGAACAGAAGGUGGAGGCAGAUUGCUUUGCGCACGUGCUCGGGAAGCUGAAGGGAUGAGUGCGCAGGUGGAGCAGCAGGCUUCCCACAUCCUCAAAACUAGGCUUUCUGGCCCAGGGUCCUUCUGUGAGCUGGUUCAAGGGGCCUCAGACUCCCACACCCUCCAUUGCUGCAUCUCCUCCAAGAAGCCAGAAUCCUCAGUCACUCACCAAGAUGUCCAGCUGCCAGUCUCCAGUGUCCAGCUCUGCACCAAAUGCCACCACUUCUAGGGACUCCCAGCAGUGAGUUCCCUCACAGUGGCCAGUAUGAGAAGGGAGGGGGCAAACAACAAAGGGCAGGGAAGGGACCCCAAUAGCUGCAACCCAGGCUGACUUUCCCUAACUUCUUCUGUGACUGCAGAUGGGUCACUGUCUCUUUAAGCCUCAGUUUCCCAUUUGAUAUGCUUCCACACAUCAAUCUCACAGAGACUGUGAUUAACGAUUUACAUAGAAGGGCUUUGUCCCUGUGGGGAGCCACUCCACAUUCAUGCACCUUUAAGUCCUCAUGCACCACGGGGAUCUGAAAGAUCAAUGUAGUCUGGCGUGGUAGGGCCAUGACUUGUGACUCUUGGGCUUUUCCCUUGCUGGGAUAACAAGGCAUGGCCCUAGCAGUAGGCGGCGCCCAGAGGGGUUGAGUACACUCACCUGUUCCUUUGUAAUUCUACCCCUUUGCCCUUUUGGGGAUAGAAUGUUCCAUGGAACCUCCCCUUGUGUGUUCCUUGUAUAAGAAUAAAGAGUUCCAAUGGCUCUCUCUCUUUCCAAGGACUCUUAAGGUCACAGAGCCAUCUCCGGAAUAUUGAAAAAGGUA